GGGGGCCGUUUCUACUGUCAGAGAUGCUGCCACUCGUCUCACAGUGAACCGGUCUCUUU
rnacentral:pre_miRNA from 3 species